rnacentral:lncRNA from 1 species
AGAAAAGUUUAUAUUUAGCCCUGAGAGGUUUGCAUACCAAUCUAAUUCAUUUAAAGUUUGAUUUAAGGACUGUUCACUUCCAUCUAAAAUAAGUGAAGUAUCAUCUGCAAACUGUGAUAACUUAUGUUCUAUCCUAGUCACAGUUAUGCCAGUAAUAUUUUUAUUCCCCCGUAUUCUAAUUGCCAAAAUUUCUGCACAAAGUAUAAAAAGGUAGGGUGAUAAGGGAUCCCCUUGUCUACAGCCACGUCCUAUUUGAAAAAAGUCUGAAAGAUUUCCUCCCUGAAUGACUGCAGAUGAGAUAUUAUUAUAAAAUACUUUAACCCAGUUGAUAAUAGAUUCACCAAAAUUAAAAAAUUGCAAUACUGACAACAAAAAGUCCCAAGAUAGAGAAUCAAA